AUUGAACGCUGGCGGCAUGCCUUACACAUGCAAGUCGAACGGUAACAGGUCUUCGGAUGCUGACGAGUGGCGAACGGGUGAGUAAUACACCGGAACGUGCCUAGUAGUGGGGGAUAACUACUCGAAAGAGUGGCUAAUACCGCAUGAGAUCUAUGGAUGAAAGCAGGGGAUCGCAAGACCUUGUGCUACUAGAGCGGCCGAUGGCAGAUUAGGUAGUUGGUGGGGUAAAGGCCGACCAAGGCAACGAUCCAUAGCUGGUCUGAGAGGAUGAUCAUACACACUGGGGAUGAGGCAAGGGCGAGCGUCCUACGGGAGGCGGCAGUGGGGAAUAGUGAACAAUGGGCGAAGGCCUGAUCCAGCAACGCCGUGUGUGUGAAGAAGGCCUUCGGGUUGUAAAGCACUUUUAAUGGGGAAGAAAAGUUCAUGGCUAAUAUCCAUGAAUGCUGACGUUACCCACAGAAAAAGCACUGGCUAACUCUGUGCCAGCAGCCGCAGUAAAAC
rnacentral:rRNA from 1 species